rnacentral:snRNA from 1 species
CUGCAUUUCUGACUAUCAGAUAA